rnacentral:rRNA from 1 species
UCCCUUAGUAGCGGCGAGCGAACAGGGAAGAGCCCAGCGCCGAAUUCCGCGUCUCAAAGGGCGUUUGGAACAUGUGGCGUUUAGGAGGAAUCUCUCCGAGGGCAGACGGUGUCGCAAGUCCCCCUGAACGGGGCUGUGAUCCAGAGCGGGUGCGAGGCCCAUAGCUGGUACCGUCUCCUUCGGGUGUCCCCUCCUUGGAGUCGGGUUGCUUGGGAGUGCAGCCCUAAUUGGGUGGUAAACUCCACCUAAGGCUAAAUACGUCCGUGAGACCGAUAGCAAACAAGUACCGUGAGGGAAAGUUGCAAAGAACUUUGAAGAGAGAGUUCAAGAGUACGUGAAACCGCUCAGAGGCAAACGGGUGGGCCCACGAAAGCCGAAGGCGGGGGGAUUCAGUCGAGAGGACGGUGGGGCAGGACUGGCUGGUUGGACGGACCGUGCCAGGCCGGGUCAGUUCCCGAGAUCUGCCGCCUUUCGACGCAUUUCCCCCUGCUUAGUAGGACGCCGCAACCGGUUGGCGCUGCAGCCAUAAGGGAGAGUAAAUGGAAGGUAGCCAGCGAGUUCUUCUUCGGAGGCGCGAGCUGGUCCUAAGCCGACUCUCCUGGUGCUUGUGGCCCGACCGUGGUCGUGAGUCCCUGAACGGGAUGUCGCCGAGCCCUCUGACUGGAGCGGGAGAAGUGGCAGGCUGCUUUCCGCGGAAAAAAAAUCGAUCGCUUCACGCGUGCAGUGAGCGAUCUCCGGAGGUAGCUGCUGGUGCGUUUUUCUCCUGCGCUGGGCACAGGCAGUUGGCGGCGAGUAGGUCGGUCACCCACCCGACCCGUCUUGAAACACGGACCAAGGAGUCUAACAUGUGCGCGAGUCAUUGGGUCUUGAACAAGCCCAAAGGCGCAAUGAAAGUGAAGACCAGCACUGAAGCUGGUGGAGUUGGGAAACUGUGUCACUGAAGACGCAGUUGCACCAACGGCCCGUCCCGUCCGCAUCGUCGGUGGGGCGGAGCGAGAGCGUACACGUUGGGACCCGAAAGAUGGUGAACUAUGCCUGGGCAGGACGAAGCCAGAGGAAACUCUGGUGGAGGUCCG